CCGGGCUGGGGGAACCUACACAACAAGGGACCUUCGUGUGGGGCUAGGACAGGGCUAGGAGCCUAAGCAACUAGGAAUAUUGUGACGGGCUUGGACCCUAAUCAACUAGGAACCUUCGUGACGGGCUAGGAACCUAAACAACUAGGAACCUUAGUGACGGGCUCUGGUUUCCUGCAGCGCUGCUGAUGUGAUCAUGUUGUGCUAGCAUCUCUAGCUCGCAGAGGCCGAACUGAUACAUUUCUAUUUUCAUGGAUGUGUUUGCAUAACCGGAUUAAGCUUGACCAGGCCAAUCCUAGUAUAGGGAGAGGAUGGCACAUCCACAUAUUCCACCUCAGCUGCCCCCGGGGGCAAAAAUGCUGGAAGGUGAUAAUGACUCCAAUGGGGACUCUGGAGUAGAGGAGGAUGUAGUAGAAGAUACAGGUGGUUGCCAAGGAGGAAGCGGAACACAAGAGGACUGUGUUGAGCAAGAAUGCAAUGAAGAGAGCAAUGGGGAUGAGGGACAUUUUACAAUUUUUGUUGCUUUUAAAGGAAACCUUGAGGAUGAAGACUUUGCAGAAAAACUCAACAGAGUUGUAAUUGGCAUACCCAGCAUUAUUGAUUUAGGCUCAGAGACACUGCAGCCAAAGCGCGUGGAAAAAUGGAACAGCGUACGUGUUACCUUCAACAUCCCCAGGGAUGCUGCAGAACGCCUGCGGUUGCUGGCCCAGAACAACCAGCAACAGCUACGAGACCUGGGCAUCCUCUCAGUACAAAUAGAGGGGGAGGGACCCAUAAACGUCGCCAUGGGCCAGAACCGAGGCCAAGAGGUCCGGGUGAAUGGGCCAAUCGGGAUGCCUGGCCAGAUGAGAAUGGACAUGGGGUUUCCAGGUCAGCCUGGUCCAGCUAUGAGGAUGCCCAAUCCAUCAAUGGUGCCCCCUGGGCCCAGCAUGGCCGGGCAGGUGAUGGUUCCGGGCGGCAGUGGACAGAUGCCUCCCCGAGGUCGAGGAUCAACCACUCAAAUAGACGGGAUGGACCCAAUGAUGUCAGUUCAGCAGCAGCAGCAGCAGCAACUCCAGCACCAACAGGCGGGUCCCCACGGCUCGGGUCAAAUGCCCCCGCAGGCCGCCCAUCACAUGCAAGCAUUGCAGGUUGGCAGGCAGCUUAACCCUGCCGCCUUGCAACAGCUUCAGCAGCACCAACAACAGCAGCAGCAGCAGCAACAACAACAACAACAACAGCAGCAGCAGCAGCAGCAGCAGCAACAACAGCAACAACAGCAAGCGCAGCUGUCCCAACUUGGACCUAGACCUCCGUUCAACCCCUCUGGCCCGAUGGCUGUUCCUCCUAACUGGAACCAGCUACCAUCUGGGGUCCUGCAGCCACCAGCCACCCAAGGGGGCCCUGCAUGGAGAAAGCCACCUCCUCAAGGCCAAAUCGGUCAGCGCCCCCCUUCCCUAGCUGCCGUUCAGACUCCCAAUCACCCUCCACCUCCUUACCCAUAUGGCAGCCAACAAACUGGACAGGUCUUUAAUGCCAUCGGACAGGGUCAGUUGCAGCAGCAACAGGGUGGCAUGGGACAGUUUGCAGCCCCUCAGCCUAAAGGCCCUCAGACAGGCCCUGGGGGUGUAGUAGGACCCCCUAGGCCCCCCCCGCCGCUCCCGCCCGCCCCUGGACAGCAGGGUAACCUUGCCGCCAAGUCCCCCGGUUCCUCCUCGUCUCCUUUCCAGCAAGGCUCCCCCGGGACCCCUCCAAUGAUGGCCCAGCGACCGACCACCCCACAGGGUUUCCCCCAGGGUGUGGGCUCCCCAGGAAGAGCGGCUCUCGGACCGCAAGGGAAUAUGCAGCAAGGCUUUAUGGGAAUGCCUCAGCAUGGACAGCCAGGGGGCCAAGUUCAUCCAGGUGCAAUGCCAGGCAUGCAAAAGCGUCCCAUGGGCUUUUCAAACAUGACUGGAAACCAGAACUUUGUGCAGGGUCAAGUGAGUGGCACUACCCCUGGAACACCAGGAGGGGGAGCUGGUCAGCAGCUUCAGAGCGGUCAAGCCAUGCCUCAUCAAGGGCCACAGCCAUCUUCCGUUGCUCCCAACACGAUGCAGGGACCGCCUCAUGCCCAAGCUAAUGUUAUGGGUGUACCAGGCGGUCAGCCUCCUGGUGCCGCUGCCGGAGCUAGUAUGGGCCAGACGCAACCUGGCCUCCAAACCCAGAUGAUGGGCCUCCAGCAUCAGGCCCAGCCCGUGUCCUCCUCCCCCAGCCAGAUGGUUCAAGGCCAGGGUGGAGGUCAGACGGUCCUCUCCAGGCCCCUAAGUCAGGGGCAGAGAGGAGGGAUGACCCCACCCAAGCAGUUGAUGCCUCAACAAGGCCAGGGGGUGAUGCAUGGGCAGGGUCAGAUGGUUGGAGGCCAGGGGCACCAGGCCAUGCUGCUACAGCAACAGCAGCAGCAGCAGCAGCAGCAGCAAGCGCAGCAACAACAGCAGCAAGCGCAGCAACAACAACAGCAGCAAGUGCAACAGCAGCAGCAGCAACAACAACAACAGCAGCAGCAGCAGCAACAACAACAACAACAGCAACAGAACACCAUGAUGGAACAAAUGGUUCCCAAUCAGAUGCAAGCGAACAAGCAGGCUUUUGUAGGAAAGGUUCCGGCGGGGGUCAUGCCUGGCCAGAUGAUGCGGGGCCCUUCACCAAAUGUUCCAGGGAACAUGGUUCCAUUCCAGGCCCAGGUCGGCCAGCAGCAGCAGCAGCAGCAGCAGCAGCAGCAGCAGCAGCAGCAGCAGCAGCAUUUGACUCCACAACAACAGCAGCAACAACAAAUGGCUCAACUCCAGCAACAGCAGUUACAGCAGCAGCAACAGCACCAGCUUCAACAGCAACAAAUGCAACAGCAGCAGCAGCAACUACAGCAGCAGCAGCAGCAGCAACAACAACAACAACAACAACUACAGCAGCAGCAGCAACAGAUGAACCAGCAGCAGCAGGUUCCCAUGGCCGGGAAUCCAAACCAGGUGAUGGGUAUGCAUGGGCAGCAGAUGAGGCUGCCUGCUGGGCAUCCCCUAGUUCAACAGCAGUUACAGCAGCAGCAGCAGCUACAGCAGCAGAAACAACAGCAGGCAAUGUUGCAACAACAACAGCAGCAGCAGCAACAACAACAACAACAACAACAACAACAACAACAACAGGCAGCCCAGCAACACCAACAUCCACUGGUCGACCCAAACAGCGGGCCAGGUGAAUUGGGUGUCCAACAGAUGCUGCCUGAUAUGCAGGGACAGCAGCCGCAAGGCAUGAUGGGAACCCCUCAGCACAUGCAGGUGGGCAACGGCCACUUUCAAGGGCAUGGCAUGAACUUCAACCCACAGUUCCAAGGGCAGAUGCCCAUGGCGGGGGCAGUGGGACCACAAGGGGGCUUCCCUGUUAACAAGGAUGUAACGCUGACCAGCCCGCUGCUGGUCAACCUGCUCCAGAGUGAUAUCUCUGCCAGCCAGUUUGGGCCAGGAGCGAAGCAAGGAGCAGGGGGUAGUAACCAGGCCAAGCCCAAGAAGAAGAAACCCCCGCGAAAGAAGAAACCUAAAGUUGGAGAGCAAGCUGAUGGCCUGGGUGGUCUGGAUGGGGCUUCUGGUCUGGAGGACUCUGACCUACCUGGGAUGGCUGGAGAUCACAGUUUAGUCAUGGAUACCUCUGGUCCUAAACUCCCUGAUUUUCCCAACAGGCCUGCAGGCUUCACUGCCCAACCCGGAGAGCAGCGGGUGUUGCAGCAGGUGCCCAUGCAGUUUAUCCAACAGCAGCAGCAGCAGCAGCAACAACAACAACAAAUGCAGCACUUGCAGCAGCAGCAAAUACAGCAGCAGAUGCAGCAGCAGAUGCAACAGCAGCAAUUACAGCAGCAACAGAUACAGCAGCAGCAGCAGAUGCAACAAAUGCAGAUGCAGGGGCAACAGGGGAUGGCCGUAACCCAGCCUCCUGGCCAAGCCCAGGCUCAAAUGCAUCCUCACCAGCUUCAGCAGCAGCAGCAGCAGCAGCAGCAACAACAACAACAGCAGCAGCAGCAGCAACAACAACAACAACAGCAGCAAGCCCAGCCACCACACCUUCAACAGCAGCAGCAGCAUCAGAUGAUGAUGAUGCAGAAGAUGCAGCAGGAACAGGCUAAGAAUCGUAUGUCCAUUCCUCCUGGAGGUCAACUGCCUCCCAGGGGGAUGGUCAAUCCAGGGGACGUUCACAGAAUGCCAGUUUCCCAACAAGGAGGUAUGCCUGCGAUGAUUAACCUGCAGGGGAAUGUAGGAGUGCCGCCUUCACCUGACAAACCUAGAGGGAUGCCUCUGGGCGUCAACGCACAGCUCGCUGGAGGACCGCGGAGAAUGUCUCAUCCAGAUGUCGGGCCGGCUUCUCAAGGGUCUGAAACAGAAGAGGCCCCUGGAGGAGGCCACACCAUGCAGGGCAGGCCCGGAGUCCCAGAGCUGGUGAUGCAGUCUGGAAAUGGAGCCCAACAGAUGAUGGUCAAUCCAGCAUCCAAUGCUCACAUGAUGAAGCAGGGCCCUCUUCCGCCGUCCAUGCCCCAGCACCCUGGAGCCAGUCCCCAGCAGCAGCUCCCCUCACAGGCGCAACAAGGGGGCCCCAUGCCUGGCAUCCACUUCCCUAACGUUCCUACAACCUCGCAGAGCUCCAGGCCCAAAACCCCCAACCGGGCAAGCCCCAGGCCAUACCAUCACCCCCUGACUCCGACUAAUCGGCCCCCCAGCACAGAGCCGUCCGAAAUCAACCUGUCCCCGGAGCGACUCAAUGCCUCCAUCGCAGGGCUGUUCCCCCCUAAAAUCAACAUUCCCUUGCCUCCAAGGCAACCCAACCUGAAUAGGGGCUUUGACCAACAGGGUCUGAACCCCACUACGCUGAAGGCUAUAGGGCAGGCCCCACCGAACUUAAACCUGCAAGGCAGCACAAAUAACGGCAGUGGAAACAAUGGUAACAAUGGGCAGCAGUCAUUCUCUUCUGCAGGUGGGGCGGCAGGUCCAGGUAGUAAGCUGGACAAGCAGUCCGGAGGGCAGGCCAAAAGAGCCAGUCCCAGCAACAGUCGAAGGUCCAGUCCAGCCUCCAGCCGGAAAGCAGCCACUCCAAGUCCAGGGAGGCAGAAGGGGACAAAGAUGGCUCUCGCUGGUCCUCCCAACCAGCAGCAGAUGAUAAAUGCUCCGGGGUCUGCCAUGAUGCUGAACCACCCCGCAGUAGCCUCCAAUCUGGUAUCCAUGCCCUCACCAGUUGCUGCCGCCCCCGAGACUCAGCCUGCCCAGAACACCUUCAUUGGCAUGCAGGGUAACCCCACUGAGGGACCCAAGGAAAGCCAGGGAACCAUGCCUCAGCCCCAAUCCAUGGCCCAUCCUCAGCCUUCCAGAGAGUUAUCUGCCCCUACUAGAAUGGCUAGUCCCCGUGUCCCCACACCCCAUGAGGGCGGAGUUGUACCGCAAGCAGGUUCGGUUGAGAGGCAACCUGUGAACACGACACCCACGCCAGACUCUGUUCCCGAGGCCUUGUCCGCUUCAAAGGACGCACCAGUGUCUCUCAAUCAGCUUCUGGAAAUCCCCAACUCAGCUGGUAUGCCUCCGCGGCCCACGCAGAGCGCGCCUGCCAGGGACGUGGCGAAGGAGAGUCCCAAGCCUCCAUCGGCUCCAGAAAGACAACAGCCCAGUGUUUCUCAGGACUCAGACAUUCCAUGCCCGGUUGCUCCAGCCCCUGCCCAGGUGGAAAUGGAAGCUCCACCCAAGCCUGCGCCCUGCGUUCCCACCAGCAGCCCUAGCGUGCAGACAACUGCGAGCACUACCGUUAACACUAAUCCAACCUCCGUCCCCAGCCUCAACAAUAAGCCCUCCCUGAGUCAAGCUGUCCAUCCCACUCAGAGCAUCGUCGCCACGACUACCCACGCCUCUGCUCCGAUUCCAAACACUAAUGCCACCCUCGCUGUAGCCCCCCAGUCGGCCUCUUCUAGCAACAGCAGUCCUCUAGCGGCCGUCUGCUCCAGCUUCACCACCGGCUCUGUCGGCUCCAAGCCCAGCCCUAGCCCCAAGCCUGCGGCUGCUGUUCACUCCAUCAUACAGUUACCCGCCGCGUCAAGCCCCAUCGCCUCUAGUCAAAUUACUGUGUUUGUUACCUCGAAUCCAAUCCCCCCUGCCCCCGCGACGCAGGCACCACCAGGCAUGGUCGCAACUAUGGUCGUUACCAACAAAAAUAUUAGGCCGCAGGACGUCCGACAGCAGACCCCCAACCCCCGCCCGCCCCAGUUCAUCACUACCAAGCCUGUAUUUAUCAACCCUAUUUUCCAGGUCCCUGGAGCCUCUGUGGCCCCCAACACAACCGUGGUGUCCCAGCCAGUAACCAUGGUAGCACCGAUCGCAGUGCCCACAAACAUCCAGCUCUCGCCAGCUCCAGGCUCCACCCAGCCCUCUGGCACUACAGUAUCCAGUGCUCAGCCCGUUAGAACAGUCGGGGGCCAGGUCCCGUUGACGACCAAUACGUCUUCACCGGCCCCAGCUGUCACACCCCCGGCCCCCCAGCAGACAAACUGUGGGGCUAUCAAAACUGAAAGUGUAGUACAGGUAGCCCUCGGGCAGAAGUCCAGUCCGUUAGGCAGCCAGCCGCCAACCCGUCUCGGCCCUCCUGCCCCGCCAUCGUCACCCUUUCAGCCCCCCCUGGCCUCCCCGCCCACCUCUUCUAGUCCUGGGACCACAACCCCGCUGAGAAAGAGCCCCGUGGGUCCUCCCUCUCCUGCUCUGGUUCAGAGUAAGCCUGUGCAGGUGGCCGCCCCUGUGCCCUGUCCACAAGACCCACCGCAGAGCGCCAGGGAGAAGCCUGCAGCGCCUGCGACUGCAUCUGUGGCUCAACUAGCCCCGCCCUCUACUUCUGCCUGUCCAGUCAGUCAAAGUGAUUCGCCAGUGACCCAGACCACGGCAGCUGCUUCUAAAGUGUCCACCGCAGUGUCCUCUCCAUCCCCAAUCCCAAAUCCCUCCCUACCCAUUGUGGCCCCUGCUCAGGCCCCCAGCCAGGCUUCAAGUUCUGCACUCGUCGCUGUCUCGACUAAAAUCACCCAGGCUCCUGUUGUGGCUCCUAUGCCCACCGUUGCCUCCUCUGCUACCUCACUCCCCAAUCCUGCCCCUGUACAAAGUCCCCCAGCCUCCGUUGUGCCAGCCCCCACUGUGCCGGCUUCAGAGGUGGCCCAAUCCACGUCCUCGCCACCGCCUGACCCCAACAGAGAGGCUGCUGCCCCGUCUGAGUCCCCAGCUAUGGGCCCUCCCUCGCAGUCUGCCCCAGUCCCUCCAGCACUAAUUGAGCCCGCCGGUCCACAGUCACAGGAACCUAUCGCCAGUGAAAAGACAACAUCUGAAGAAGUCGUCACAGAACAAGGGGAGUUCAUUUGGUUGGCCAGGGGGGUACAUGGUGAAAUCAAUGAUCCGCGUGGCCCCAACACUUGGUAUGUAUGCAUGGCAUGCAACAUUUCAACAAUUCAAAUGCAUGUCUCAAAGAUAGAUCAACCGCAGUACUCAUUCUCUUAAGGAUGAGGCUUAAGCUUCCUCUUCUCUGAUCUUCUCACCUUCUGUUUAUGGCCAUCACAUUCCUUUCUUUCUUGGGUUUAUUUUAAUUUUCCCAAAAAUAUGAAGGGGGAAGUAAACUCAUGCUUUGUGCGCACCACAGUUUUUAGUUUACCGCUGUUUUUCCACUUCUAUCACAGAUGGGCAAAGAAAAGAAAGACGCCCAUCAACUUAGUCCCAAGGUAUGUAUUUAAGCCGUACUGGUGCUGCCAAGACACACGCAGUGACCACGCCGACCCUGCCACCUCGUAGUGGACACGGUGGGGGCUGAAGACGGGCAGUAUCUGUGGUAGACGAGGAGAAACAGCCGAGUCCCGAGUCCCAUGUGGUAUUGUAACUCUGACCAGAGGAGGGUUAAAGGAUUCCUGUGCCUACCCUCAUUAACAACCACUUCUUCCCUCCCCACUCUUGUCUGUCUCGCUUUGUUUUCUCCCUCUGUCUGCCUCUCCAGAGUGGCUGUGGAGAAGCCCAAGGGUCCGAGUCGCAGGAGCUCCCGGGCGGACAAGGAGGCGGAGGACGAGCCCGUAGCGGACAGCGGGAUGAGGAAGAGGUCGGCCAGGCCCGCUGCCUCCAGUGCUGCUUCCAAAGAGACUGGAGCGAGUCCCACUCAGGCCAAACGAAGGAAGUCUAAAUAGGCCUGACUGCAGUUGUGGUACCCUGUGAACUGUACUUUAAACAUUUGUAAUCAUCUGAUAAUGGUUUCCUGCUCGUGAAUUAUGAAUUUCACUGGAGUGAGUAACCCAUGUACAGAUUGUUGUUUUAAAAUAAUUAAAUUCUGUUUUGUCCCUGCUAUUAUGUGAGUUUGUAGUUAGUGUGUGGUUAUGAGGUUGUGUGAAUGAUGUAUUUUUGUUUUUUAAUGCUGGAUUAAUCACGUGAAGACCGAUAUUAGAUCUUGUUAUGAUUGUAUAAUUAUGUUGUAAAAGUCCAUUAAAUUUUCUACUGCUUUGUCUUGUGAAA